rnacentral:rRNA from 1 species
UGCGAAGGGGGCUAGCGUUGCUCGGAAUCACCGGGCGUAAAGGGCGCGUAGGCGGCCUGGCAAGUGGAAGGUGAAAUCCCUCGGCUUAACCGAGGAACUGCCUCCCAAACUGCAUGGCUUGAGACCAGGAGAGGUGAGUGGAAUUCCCAGUGUAGCGGUGAAAUGCGUAGAUAUUGGGAGGAACACCAGUGGCGAAGGCGGCUCACUGGACUGGUACUGACGCUGAUGCGCGAAAGCGUGGGGAGCAAACAGG